rnacentral:rRNA from 1 species
GUCCCCCAGUUUGAUCCUGGCUCAGAACGAACGCUGGCGGCGCGCCUAAUACAUGCAAGUCGAAGCGAGAAGGUGUAGCAAUACACGUUGUAAAGCGGCAAAACGGGGUGAGGAAUACAUGGGUAACCUACCGUCGAGUGGGGAAUAACCAGCCGAAAGGUUGGCUAAUACCGCGUACGCUUCCGAAUCUUCGGGUUCGGAAGGAAAGCGAUACCGUGGGUAUCGCGCUCUUCGAUGGGCUCAUGUCCUAUCAGCUUGUUGGUAGGGUAACGGCCUACCAAGGCUUUGACGGGUAGCUGGUCUGAGAGGACGAUCAGCCACACUGGCACUGCGACACGGGCCAGACUCC